rnacentral:rRNA from 1 species
CAGUAGCCGCGGUAAUACGAAGGGGGCUAGCGCUGUUCGGAUUUACUGGGCGUAAAGGGCGCGUAGGCGGACUGAUAAGUCAGGGGUGAAAUCCCAAGGCUCAACCUUGGAACUGCCUUUGAUACUGUUUGUCUUGAGUUCGAGAGAGGUAAGUGGAACUGCGAGUAUAGAGGUGAAAUUCGUAGAUAAUCGCAAGAACACCAGUGGCGAAGGCGGCUUACUGGCUCGAAACUGACGCUGAGGCGCGAAAGCGUGGGGAGCAAACAGGAUUAGAUACCCCGGUAGUCCCUGUCUCUUAUAC